rnacentral:rRNA from 1 species
GUUAUAGGGUCAAGCGAACAAGUGCAUGUGGUGGAUGCCUUGGCGAUCACAGGCGAUGAAGGACGCGGUAGCCUGCGAAAAGCUACGGGGAGCUGGCAAACAAGCUUUGAUCCGUAGAUGUCCGAAUGGGGAAACCCACUCCUUUUGGAGUAUCCAUGGCUGAAUACAUAGGCCAUGUGAAGCGAACGCGGUGAACUGAAACAUCUAAGUAACCGCAGGAAAAGAAAUCAACCGAGAUUCCCAAAGUAGUGGCGAGCGAAAUGGGAUGAGCCUUGCACUCUUUAUUUGUAUUGUUAGCCGAACGCUCUGGAAAGUGCGGCCAUAGCAGGUGAUAGCCCUGUAGGCGAAAACAGUAUGAAAGAACUAGGUGUGCGACAAGUAGGGCGGGACACGUGAAAUCCUGUCUGAAGAUGGGGGGACCAUCCUCCAAGGCUAAAUACUCGUGAUCGACCGAUAGUGAACCAGUACCGUGAGGGAAAGGCGAAAAGAACCCCGGGAGGGGAGUGAAAUAGAUCCUGAAACCGCAUGCAUACAAACAGUCGGAGCCUCGUAAGGGGUGACGGCGUACCUUUUGUAUAAUGGGUCAGCGACUUACGUUCAGUAGCAAGCUUAACCGUAUAGGGCAGGCGUAGCGAAAGCGAGUCCGAAUAGGGCGUUCAGUUGCUGGGCGUAGACCCGAAACCAGGUGAUCUAUCCAUGGCCAGGAUGAAGGUGCGGUAACACGUACUGGAGGUCCGAACCCACUAACGUUGAAAAGUUAGGGGAUGAGCUGUGGAUAGGGGUGAAAGGCUAAACAAACCUGGAAAUAGCUGGUUCUCUCCGAAAACUAUUUAGGUAGUGCCUCGUGUCUCACCUUCGGGGGUAGAGCACUGUCAUGGU